GCUGGGUGUGGUGGUGCACACCUGUAAUCCCAGAGACUCCGAAAGCUGAGCCAGGAGAAUCAUAAAUCCAGGCCAGCCUGGGCAAAUUAGUGAGACCCUGUCUCAA
rnacentral:sRNA from 1 species